AGAAUGUUAUAAUAUAAACAGAGAUUCCCAUUUACCCACAGAAAAGAUACCGCUUAGGCUGUGGCAGGGCAAGCUUUCCCAAGCUGCCUCACCAAUAAGGCUCAAUCCUGAUGAGAAGGAUGUAAAGGUAGCUCUGUCUCCAUACCCAUUCAGUAAAGACAGCC
rnacentral:sRNA from 1 species